rnacentral:rRNA from 1 species
UAGCAGUCCGCCGGUAAUAACGUAGGGGGCGAGCGUGUCCGGAAAUUAUGGGCGUAAAAGGUACGCAGGCGGUUUAAGAAGUCAGAUGUUAAAGCGUAGGGCUUUAACCCUAUAAAGGCAUAUGAAACUGAUAGCUUGAGUAAAGGAAGAAGGAAAAGUGGAAAUUCCUGGUGUAGCGUGAAAAUGCGUAGAUAUCAGGAGGAAUACCCGGUGGCGAAAGGCGACUUUCUGGACUUUAACUGACGUUGAGGUACGAAAGCGCGGGGAGCAAACAGGAUUAAGAUACCACUGGUAAGUCCGCGCCAUAAACGAUGAAUGCUAGGAUAUUUGGGAGUCAAAUUUCAGUGCCGAAGUAAAACACAUUAAGCAUUCCGCCUGGGGAGUACGGUGGCAACACUGAAACUCAAAGGAAUUGACGGGGAACCGCACAAGCAGCGGAGCAUGUGGUUUAAUUCGAUGCAACGCGAAGAACCUUACCGGGGCUUGACAUAUACUUGAAGUAAGUAGAGAUACAUAUGAUUCUUCGGAAAUAGGUAAACAGGUGGUGCAUGGUUGUCGUCAGCUCGUGUCGUGAGAUGUUGGGUUAAGUCCCGCAACGAGCGCAACCCCUAUGUUUAGUUACCAGCAGUAAGAUGGGGACUCUAAGCAGACUGCCGAUGAUAAAUCGGAGGAAGGCGGGGAAGACGUCAAAUCAUCAUGCCCUAUAUGUCCCGGGCUACACACGUGGUACAAUGGUCGGUACAGAGGGAAGCGACAUAGAGAUAUGAAGCGAACCCCAAAAAGCCGGUCCCAGUUCGGAUUGUAGGCUGCAAUUCGCUUACAUGAAGUCGGAGUUGUUAGUAAUCGCAAAUCAGAAUGUUGCGGUGAAUGCGUUCCCGGGUCUUGUACACACCCCCCGUCACACCAUGGGAGUUAAAAAUACCCGAAAGAAGGGCGAGCUAACCGCAAGGGAGCAGCCGUCGAAAAGGCUCAUUUAAUUUUUAAUGGGGCGC